AUUGAAGAGUUUGAUCAUGGCUCAGAUUGAACGCUGGCGGCAGGCCUAACACAUGCAAGUCGAGCGGUAGCACAGAGAGCUUGCUCUCGGGUGACGAGCGGCGGACGGGUGAGUAAUGUCUGGGAAACUGCCUGAUGGAGGGGGAUAACUACUGGAAACGGUAGCUAAUACCGCAUAACGUCGCAAGACCAAAGUGGGGGACCUUCGGGCCUCAUGCCAUCAGAUGUGCCCAGAUGGGAUUAGCUGGUAGGUGGGGUAACGGCUCACCUAGGCGACGAUCCCUAGCUGGUCUGAGAGGAUGACCAGCCACACUGGAACUGAGACACGGUCCAGACUCCUACGGGAGGCAGCAGUGGGGAAUAUUGCACAAUGGGCGCAAGCCUGAUGCAGCCAUGCCGCGUGUGUGAAGAAGGCCUUCGGGUUGUAAAGCACUUUCAGCGGGGAGGAAGGCGGUGAGGUUAAUAACCUCAUCGAUUGACGUUACCCGCAGAAGAAGCACCGGCUAACUCCGUGCCAGCAGCCGCGGUAAUACGGAGGGUGCAAGCGUUAAUCGGAAUUACUGGGCGUAAAGCGCACGCAGGCGGUCUGUCAAGUCGGAUGUGAAAUCCCCGGGCUCAACCUGGGAACUGCAUUCGAAACUGGCAGGCUAGAGUCUUGUAGAGGGGGGUAGAAUUCCAGGUGUAGCGGUGAAAUGCGUAGAGAUCUGGAGGAAUACCGGUGGCGAAGGCGGCCCCCUGGACAAAGACUGACGCUCAGGUGCGAAAGCGUGGGGAGCAAACAGGAUUAGAUACCCUGGUAGUCCACGCUGUAAACGAUGUCGAUUUGGAGGUUGUGCCCUUGAGGCGUGGCUUCCGGAGCUAACGCGUUAAAUCGACCGCCUGGGGAGUACGGCCGCAAGGUUAAAACUCAAAUGAAUUGACGGGGGCCCGCACAAGCGGUGGAGCAUGUGGUUUAAUUCGAUGCAACGCGAAGAACCUUACCUGGUCUUGACAUCCACAGAACUUUCCAGAGAUGGAUUGGUGCCUUCGGGAACUGUGAGACAGGUGCUGCAUGGCUGUCGUCAGCUCGUGUUGUGAAAUGUUGGGUUAAGUCCCGCAACGAGCGCAACCCUUAUCCUUUGUUGCCAGCGGUCCGGCCGGGAACUCAAAGGAGACUGCCAGUGAUAAACUGGAGGAAGGUGGGGAUGACGUCAAGUCAUCAUGGCCCUUACGACCAGGGCUACACACGUGCUACAAUGGCAUAUACAAAGAGAAGCGACCUCGCGAGAGCAAGCGGACCUCAUAAAGUAUGUCGUAGUCCGGAUUGGAGUCUGCAACUCGACUCCAUGAAGUCGGAAUCGCUAGUAAUCGUAGAUCAGAAUGCUACGGUGAAUACGUUCCCGGGCCUUGUACACACCGCCCGUCACACCAUGGGAGUGGGUUGCAAAAGAAGUAGGUAGCUUAACCUUCGGGAGGGCGCUUACCACUUUGUGAUUCAUGACUGGGGUGAAGUCGUAACAAGGUAACCGUAGGGGAACCUGCGGUUGGAUCACCUCCUU
rnacentral:rRNA from 1 species